CCUAAUUACCAGGCAGCUAUUUAUUUCUAAGAGCGGCCGCACUAGGACAGCACCGGCUGAUUGCUGUCACCUACUAAUAUCCUCCCGGUUUGAGUUGGAUAUCUUGUGUUGUCACACUACUGUCCAUCUGAACUUCUGGGACCGUCCCUGGCUCACCCCCUGCUCCAUUGCAGGAGUCCUACCCAUACAAAUAAAUUAAAUUGGGAUUUACCUCCUACUUCCCUGUAGGAGCUCCACCUAUAUAAAUAGAUUCAAGUCUGGAGUCAAGUUGCUUGGCUAUGUUUUAAACGUUUGGGACCAUAUUUUUGCCCUUUGACUGCUUCCCUGCUCUACUCCAAGCAAUCUAAGUUCUGUUACAGGAGCCGUGUGGUUCUCUUCCACAUCUCCUUCUGCUCGCCCAGGGUUUGUCCUCAGGAGUUCUGGGACCCGUUUCUGUGUCCCCUUGGUUGGCUCCCUAUCCACCUUAGGAAAUUGGUACUACGGUGUUCUUCGGUCCUUUUGGUCUACAUACGUGGUGAUGGUAUAAUUGUCGCAUGGACUCUGGCCCCUGAAGAAGGGACGGAACUCCUGAAACGCGUAGGGCCUGAACUCAUCCCUGCGGACAUACACACCACUUAGUGACGUACCUUGUUUUUAAACAAUCUUGUUGCUUGUCAUAAUUUUUGUUUUGUAUUCUUUCAUAAUAAAUUUUACUAUACCUUAUACUUUCUCCAAUCAUUGUUACCGUUAAAGCCCCACCCUGGGGGAACCUCUCCUCUUUCCUAGCUUAAUCAAGGGGUGUUGGUAACGUAUCAGGGUCUUCCAUUAUAAGAUACGUUUCCCUUUCAGGAACAUAGACAGGAGCAAGGUCUCA